UCCGGGGAUCCGNGAANNAAAGUCUGAACGGAGCAACGCCGCGUGAGUGAUGAAGGCUUUCGGGUCGUAAAACUCUGUUGUUAGGGAAGAACAAGUACAAGAGUAACUGCUUGUACCUUGACGGUACCUAACCAGAAAGCCACGGCUAACUACGUGCCAGCAGCCGCGGUAAUACGUAGGUGGCAAGCGUUAUCCGGAAUUAUUGGGCGUAAAGCGCGCGCAGGCGGUUUCUUAAGUCUGAUGUGAAAGCCCACGGCUCAACCGUGGAGGGUCAUUGGAAACUGGGGAACUUGAGUGCAGAAGAGAAAAGCGGAAUUCCACGUGUAGCGGUGAAAUGCGUAGAGAUGUGGAGGAACACCAGUGGCGAAGGCGGCUUUUUGGUCUGUAACUGACGCUGAGGCGCGAAAGCGUGGGGAGCAAACAGGAUUAGAUACCCCCCGGGAAAUCAA
rnacentral:rRNA from 1 species